UACGUAGGGCGCAAGCGUGUCCGGAAUUAUUGGGCGUAAAGAGCUCGUAGGCGGCUUGUCACGUCGGGUGUGAAAGCCCGGGGCUUAACCCCGGGUCUGCAUUCGAUACGGGCUAGCUAGAGUGUGGUAGGGGAGAUCGGAAUUCCUGGUGUAGCGGUGAAAUGCGCAGAUAUCAGGAGGAACACCGGUGGCGAAGGCGGAUCUCUGGGCCAUUACUGACGUGAGGAGCGAAAGCGUGGGGAGCGAACAGG
rnacentral:rRNA from 1 species